CUUGAAUUGCAUCACUAUUGUAGCAGUCAUACAACAAAACUUUAUUAACUUUCGGACUUUUUACAUAAGAAUUUAUCAAACCGGAUAAUUUGCUCCUUUUUAGGGCGUCACAGUCCAUAACAUGGGCUAAGCGGAACCAUUGGGGGAAAAAAGAGAUGUCAAGCAAGAAUACUUCAGACCAAGUUAGAUUUAAAUUCAUCAAGACUGCUAAGAUGUAACUGUAUAUAUAAAACCUUCAGCAGUGAUAGAACCAUUCCUGUGAGCUUGAUGGUCAAAAGAUAACGGAGGAAGCUGUGGCUGCUACUGGCAAACCAUUUAAAUCAGUGACAGAACUAUUCCUGCGGGCAUGACGGUCAAAAGAUUACGCUUAAUUAUGAGGAAGCUGCUGGCAAAUCAAAUUAAAUGUAAUUCAUUCUCUUUUGUUUUUAUUUAUUUUGUAACCUUAGUAUUGAACUUAUUGCAUCAGCAGUGUUAGAAAUAAAACUAUGCCCACUUGCCCAUGAAAUUCAAAUUUCAGUAGUGAUAGAACUAUUUCUGCGGGCAUUAUGGUCAAAACAUUACGGUUAAUGCUGAUGUUGCUGCUGGCAAACCAGUUUAAUGUAAUUCUUUUUCUUUUGUUUUCCAUGAAUUCCUUACCUUAUUAUUGAUCGCGGCCUCAUCAU
rnacentral:lncRNA from 1 species